rnacentral:rRNA from 1 species
GACGAACGCUGGCGGCGUGCUUAACACAUGCAAGUCGAACGAAGAGCGAUGGAAGCUUGCUUCUAUCAAUCUUAGUGGCGAACGGGUGAGUAACGCGUAAUCAACCUGCCCUUCAGAGGGGGACAACAGUUGGAAACGACUGCUAAUACCGCAUACGAUCUAACCUCGGCAUCGAGGAAAGAUGAAAGGUGGCCUCUAUGUAUAAGCUAUCACUGAAGGAGGGGAUUGCGUCUGAUUAGCUAGUUGGAGGGGUAACGGCCCACCAAGGCGAUGAUCAGUAGCCGGUCUGAGAGGAUGAACGGCCACAUUGGGACUGAGACACGGCCCAGACUCCUACGGGAGGCAGCAGUGGGGAAUCUUCCGCAAUGGACGAAAGUCUGACGGAGCAACGCCGCGUGAGUGAUGACGGCCUUCGGGUUGUAAAGCUCUGUUAAUCGGGACGAAAGGCCUUCUUGCGAAUAGUUAGAA